GGCUCAAUGGUCUAGUGGUAUGAUUCCUGCUUUGGGUUACAGCGUGCAGGAGGCCCCGCGUUCGAAUCGCGGUUGAGCCC